rnacentral:lncRNA from 1 species
AUUCGUAGGGGUUUCUAGACAAGCUUUGUUACUCAUGAGAGUCAAUUGUCAUCUUGUUUCAUUUCCCACUUCCUGCUCUUUCAGGUUCUUUUCCUGGCUGUGGAAAGGCCAUCUGAGUAGAGGGAUAUUUGGAUUAAGAUGAAAAAGCAAGAGGCUUCCCUGGAGUGGUGUCAAAGCCAUAAUGAUGAUAAGGAGAGCACAUGCAUAUAUAGAAAAAUAUUAAAAAUGUUGAUUCCAUUGACCAUUGUAUACAUGAGAUCUGCAUCCACGAGAACAGAGGGCUCAACACCAUUUUAUAUAAAGGACUCGAGGAUCGGUGGAUUUUGGUCUUCACAUGAGUCCUGGAACCCAUCCCCUACAGGCUACUAAGAAGGGACAGAAACAUGUUAUAUACAGGUCAUGUUAGGACCUUGCUUGAUUCUACUUGCUCUGCCUGGCUGAAAUCCCUGCACCCCGAGGGGAGAGUGCUGAACUCCGUGAUGGCAGAUGGCAUGGCUGAGAUUGGGUGUCUGCUUUUCCUCCCAAGAAGCUACAGUGCAUAAUUAAUUCAUUGUUCACAUUUCAGAGCAAGCAGAGUUUUAAUCCCCUCUGAAAUUGGUUUCGGAUGUGGAAGUCAUAGUUCUCCACCCUCUAAUUGCAAAGGGGAGAUAAUACGGCAUCGGUAUUGAAAUUUCAAGCACGGCAUCGGGCUGGAAAUAAAUAUCAUUUAAGCUUU